rnacentral:rRNA from 1 species
UGAAUACGAGAUGCUACGGCGUCGAAGCAGUGUAUGUCAGACUUCCAAGAAAAGCUCGCAAUGUCAUAAAUAAAGAAUGCCUGUACCAUAACCGACACAGGUGGGUAGGUAGAGUAUACUAAGGGGCGCGAGAUAACUCUCUCUAAGGAACUCGGCAAAAUAACUCCGUAACUUCGGGAGAAGGAGUGCCUUCUUUAAGAAGGUUGCAAUAACAAGAUCCAAGCAACUGUUUAUCAAAAACACAGGUCUCCGCUAAGUCGUAAGACGAUGUAUGGGGGCUGACGCCUGCCCAGUGCCAGAAGGUUAAAGAAGCUGGUUAGCAAUAGCGAAGCUGGUGACUGAAGCCCUGGUGAACGGCGGCCGUAACUAUAACGGUCCUAAGGUAGCGAAAUUCCUUGUCGGGUAAGUUCCGACCCGCACGAAAGGCGUAAUGAUUUGGAUACUGUCUCGGAGAGGGACUCGGUGAAAUAGACUUGUCUGUGAAGAUGCGGACUACCUGCACCAGGACAGAAAGACCCUAUGAAGCUUUACUGUAACCUGAAAUUGAAAUUGGACUUUAUUUGCGCAGUAUAGGUGGGAGGCGUUGAAAGUAAUCUUGCGGGAUUAGUGGAGCCAUCAGUGAGAUACCACUCCUAUAAUGUUAGAUUUCUAACUUUGGAUCAUGAUCUGGUCAAAGAACAGUUUCAGGCGGGCAGUUUGACUGGGGCGGUCGCCUCCCAAAUGGUAACGGAGGCGUACAAAGGUUUCCUCUGAACGGGUAGAAAUCGUAUCUAGAGUGUAAAGGCAUAAGGAAGCUUGACUGUGAGACCUACAAGUCGAGCAGGGACGAAAGUCGGUCUUAGUGAUCUGACGGUGCUGAGUGGAAAGGCCGUCACUCAACGGAUAAAAGUUACUCUAAGGAUAACAGGCUGAUCUCCCCCAAGAGUUCACAUCGACGGGGAGGUUUGGCACCUCGAUGUCGGCUCAUCGCAUCCUGGGGCGGUAGUACGUCCCAAGGGUUGGGCUGUUCGCCCAUGAAAGCGGUACGCGAGCUGGGUUCAGAACGUCGUGAGACAGUUCGGUCCAUAUCCGGUGUAGGCGUUAGAAUAUUGAGAGGAGCCUUCUCUAGUACGAGAGGACCGAGAAGGACAUACCUCUGGUGUACCAGUUAUCGUGCCAACGGUAAACGCUGGGUAGCUAUGUAUGGAGAGGAUAACCGCUGAAAGCAUCUAAGUGGGAAGCCCACCUCAAGAUGAGUAUUCU